rnacentral:rRNA from 1 species
AUUGAACGCUGGCGGCAGGCCUAACACAUGCAAGUCGAGCGAGCGUCGGACGGGUGAGUAAUAUAUCGGGACUCUCCGUUAUAGGGGGAUAACUACUGGAAACGGUAGCUAAUACCGCAUACGAUCGGAUAACCCAUAUGGGAUUAGUUAGUAGGUGAGGUAAUGGCUCACAUAGGCGACGAUCCCCAGCUGGUCUGAGAGGAUGAUCAGACACACUGGGACUGAGACCCGGGUCAGAAUCCUACGGAGGAAGCAGUGGGGAAUAUUGCACAAUGGGCGCAAGCCUGAUGCAGCCAUGCCGCGUGUAUGAAGAAGGCCCUAGGUUUGUAAAGUACUUUCAGUCGGGAGGCGUUACCGACAGAAGAAGCACCGGCUAACUCCGUGCCAGCAGCCGCGGUAAUUC